rnacentral:rRNA from 1 species
CCUACGGGGGGCAGCAGUGAGGAAUAUUGGUCAAUGGACGAGAGUCUGAACCAGCCAAGUAGCGUGAAGGAUGACUGCCCUAUGGGUUGUAAACUUCUUUUAUAAAGGAAUAAAACGAGGCACGUGUGCCUUUUUGCAUGUACUUUAUGAAUAAGGAUCGGCUAACUCCGUGCUAGCAGCCGCGGUAAUACGGGGGAUCCGAGCGUUAUCCGGAUUUCUUGGGUCUAAAGGGAGCGUAGAUGGGUUGUUAAGUCAGUUGUGAAAGUUUGCGGCUCAACCGUAAAAUUGCAAUUGAUACUGGCAGUCUUGAGUACAGUGGAGGUAGGCGGAAUUCGUGGUGUAGCGGUGAAAUGCUUAGAUAUCACGAAGAACCCCGAUUGCGAAGGCAGCUUACUAAACUGUGACUGACAUUGAUGCUCGAAAGUGUGGGUAUCAAACAGGAUUAGAUACCCGGGUAGUC